rnacentral:rRNA from 1 species
UACGUAGGGAGCGAGCGUUGUCCGGAUUCAUUGGGCGUAAAGAGCUCGUAGGCGGUUUGGUAAGUCUGGUGUGAAAUCUCCACGCUCAACGUGGAGGGGCCACCCGAUACUGCCAUGACUGGAGUCCGGUAGAGGAGUGUGGAAUUCCCGGUGUAGCGGUGAAAUGCGCAGAUAUCAGGAGGAACACCGAUGGCGAAGGCAGGUCUCUGGGCAUUAACUGACGCUGAGGAGCGAAAGCAUGGGGAGCGAACAGG